rnacentral:rRNA from 1 species
GCAUGGUUGUCGUCAGCUCGUGUCGUGAGAUGUUGGGUUAAGUCCGCAACGAGCGCAACCCCUAUUGUUAGUUGCCAUCAUUCAGUUGGGCACUCUAGCGAGACUGCCGGUAAUAAACCGGAGGAAGGUGGGGAUGACGUCAAAUCAUCAUGCCCCUUAUGACCUGGGCUACACACGUGCUACAAUGGUUGGUACAACGAGUUGCGAGUCGGUGACGGCGAGCUAAUCUCUUAAAGCCAAUCUCAGUUCGGAUUGUAGGCUGCAACUCGCCUACAUGAAGUCGGAAUCGCUAGUAAUCGCGGAUCAGCACGCCGCGGUGAAUACGUUCCCGGGCCUU